CAUCUGGGCCACCACUCACCUGCCUUCAGGACACAGAUGAACAUGCCGCACAGGAGCUUGGCGCACAUGGCAGCAUCAGAUGCAGAAAGCCUGGCACUGUGAUGAAUUGAAUUCCUGGUACCAACACUUCCUUCUACUUCCUGGCCCAGAGAGACCACUCCCUCCUCUCACACAGUGUCAGAGACUUUGAAGAUUGCGGUUGAUCAUCUCUCAACAGCAAGAGGUUAUGGAAGAGAAAUCUGAAGAGAAAGAUGAGAAAAAGCCAUGAAGGUUUUCAAAGAUAAUGAACUGGAUUGGAGCAGGAGAAGGACCUCAGAUAUGUGAUCCAUUUGGAAGAUGUUAAAGAUUAUUCAAGAAGGGGACAUAGUUGCCUAAAGUUAGGGUCAGAAAAUGGUGGAAUUUGAGAACAUUUAAUAAGUAGAUAUUUAAAAGAUCUGAUAGGAAGAAA